rnacentral:rRNA from 1 species
ACUCCUACGGGAGGCAGCAGUAGGGAAUCUUCCGCAAUGGGCGAAAGCCUGACGGAGCAACGCCGCGUGAGUGAUGAAGGUCUUCGGAUCGUAAAACUCUGUUAUUAGGGAAGAACAUAUGUGUAAGUAACUGUGCACAUCUUGACGGUACCUAAUCAGAAAGCCACGGCUAACUACGUGCCAGCAGCCGCGGUAAUACGUAGGUGGCAAGCGUUAUCCGGAAUUAUUGGGCGUAAAGCGCGCGUAGGCGGUUUUUUAAGUCUGAUGUGAAAGCCCACGGCUCAACCGUGGAGGGUCAUUGGAAACUGGAAAACUUGAGUGCAGAAGAGGAAAGUGGAAUUCCAUGUGUAGCGGUGAAAUGCGCAGAGAUAUGGAGGAACACCAGUGGCGAAGGCGACUUUCUGGUCUGUAACUGACGCUGAUGUGCGAAAGCGUGGGGAUCAAACAGGAUUAGAUACCCUAGUAGUCCCAUGA